rnacentral:rRNA from 1 species
CACAAGCGGUGGAUGAUGUGGUUAAUUCGAUGCAACGCGAAAACCUUACCACCUUGACAUGUACGGAAUCCUUAGAGAUAGAGGAGUGCUCGAAAGAGAACCGUAACACAGGUGCUGCAUGGCUAUCGUCAGCUCGUGUCGUGAGAUGUUGGGUUAAGUCCCGCAACGAGCGCAACCCUUGUCAUUAGUUGCUACAUUCAGUUGGGCACUCUAAUGAGACUGCCGGUGACAAACCGGAGGAAGGUGGGAUGACGUCAAGUCCUCAUGGCCCUUAUAGGUGGGGCUACACACGUCAUACAAUGGAUGGUACAAAGGGUCGCCAACCCGCGAGGGGGAGCCAAUCCCAUAAAGCCAUUCGUAGUCCGGAUCGCAGUCUGCAACUCGACUGCGUGAAGUCGGAAUCGCUAGUAAUCGUGGAUCAGAAUGUCACGGUGAAUACGUUCCCGGGUCUU